GGUAAGCCCAGGCCAAAACAACAAACAGAAGGAACUACACUUAAACCCCACCCGCUAACUAAACCCUGAUCAUGUAAAAGGAACAAAGAAAAGACAGCGUCUAACCUAACUUCCUACUCUAUACAAAACAGGAGAAAACGGGUUGAACAGAAAUGGCGACUUACCCUUACUUGCUUCAGUGCUCUUAUUUACAGUGGUGAACAAAAACGAUCCAAUAACGAAUAAACACAAAAGAUCUCACCGAAAAAGCGGGAGUGUAUCAAACUAGCGAUCAAAGUGCAAACGAGCGUGAAUGGCGAGCAAACAGCUAGCGAGGAGGAACGCGACAGAAUACUGCCAAAUUGCGACCUCAUAGAACGUUGACAGCGGCAGGUUUAUGAAGCUUGGCGCCUUUUUCUUGGCCAAUCAGCAGCGGCGACGUCGUCAGUCCGUCCUGCGUCGAUCAGCUUCCGUCACAGUGGGAGGGGAAGCAGCCAGCUGGUGGAGGCGACGAUCAGCUGACUGGAAGAAUCUCAGAAAAUUAACCAUUAAACGGCCAGGGGCCGUCACACAUGGCGUUUCCAUGAUGAUCCAGAAUAGCCUUGUUUGGUUUUGAAGGUAUGUUCCAGUCGAUCCUUUUAUGUUGCCCCUUCAAUUAAAGCAGAAUUGCACUCCAGAUGAUUCAUCCAAUCAUUUGAAGCAAAAUUCUAAAAUGCCACUCUAAAAUUGCGAAUGUUUUGUUUCAAGGGCGUUGGCCCGGUCUCAACAUUGGUAGGGACGAAUAUAAUGCAAAUAAGGUUGCUCAAAAGUUGGUGGGGACAACUUUAGCAUCCUGAAAAGUUGGUCGUGUUAUGUCCCUACCGUCCCUAUGCAAACCUACGCCCUUGUUUUGUUUGCAUGAAUCAUUUAAACCUGACUGGUUGGUGUUCUUAUGCAUGGAAACACGUUUGUAAUUGUUUAACUACUGUAUUUAAUAUAAACCUAUAUUUUCAAUUGCAGAAAACGUUGACAGUCAAUCAACAGGGGGACAUGGAAAGAGAGGAUUGGAAGUGAAAUAGAGGUAUUUGUAAAAGUGUGUAUAUUCAUUGAUUCAAAACUUGAAGGAAGUGACUCGGUUAAAUUCUUACGUUAGGGUUUUCCGGGACAGCCAUAGGGGAAGGACUGUGGCAUCUUCAUGUUGAUGGUAGACUGAUAUGCCAACUCUGAGGAAGUGGUGGUGUAUAUUGCUAGCGGACAAUUUCAAACUUGGGUGCAUGCCACAGGAAAAAGUUUGCCCAUUGGACAGAUGAGGCAAAAGCAUUACUGCAGGGUGAAGUGCCACCAGUCUAUCAGUUACAGAAGUGAAAGUUGAAUAUAAUUGCUGAGG